rnacentral:rRNA from 1 species
UACGUAGGGGGCGAGCGUUGUCCGGAGUUACUGGGCGUAAAGGGCAUGCAGGCGGUCGGACGCGUUUUGUGUGACAGCGGGUGGCUCAACUACGCGAGCAUACGAAAGACGGUUUGACUUGAGGGAUCGAGAGGGACACGGAAUUCCGGGUGGAGUGGUGAAAUGCGUAGAGAUCCGGAGGAACACCGAAGGCGAAGGCAGUGUCCUGGCGAGUGACUGACGCUGAGGUGCGAAAGCCAGGGGAGCGAACGGG